GACGAACGCUGGCGGCGUGCUUAACACAUGCAAGUCGAACGGAAAGGCCCUGCUUUUGUGGGGUGCUCGAGUGGCGAACGGGUGAGUAACACGUGAGUAACCUGCCCUUGACUUUGGGAUAACUUCAGGAAACUGGGGCUAAUACCGGAUAGGAGCUCCUGCUGCAUGGUGGGGGUUGGAAAGUUUCGGCGGUUGGGGAUGGACUCGCGGCUUAUCAGCUUGUUGGUGGGGUAGUGGCUUACCAAGGCUUUGACGGGUAGCCGGCCUGGGAGGGUGACCGGCCACGUUGGGCCUGGACUGCGGCCCGGCCUCGUCUCGGACGCGGGGGUGCAGUAUAUUGUACAAGGCGAGGGAGCCAAAUGUAGCCACGCCGUGUGGGGGAAGUGAUCAAGGGCGUUGUAUUCCACUGUCGUCUGUGACGGGGAGUUAGUGACGGUAAUGGGUGAAGAAGCCCCGGCUAACUACGUG
rnacentral:rRNA from 1 species